rnacentral:ncRNA from 1 species
UGAACACAUGAAGUGCGUGGUGCCCGGAUCAUGGUCCGGGUUAAAUGGGAAAUCAGUGCAAGCUGAUGCUGCCCCCGCAACGGUAGAGUCGAUUCGACUGAGCCCGAUACCAGCCCGUACUUCCCAGGAACUG